GGAGCUAUCUGUUAUUUAUUGUCAAUCUGACAUACUUUUGUCACCUUCUAGCAUGUUUUAAGCUCUAUGAAUGAAUGAUGUGUGCCAUGUUUUUCUUCUUCAUUUUCAUGCGGAAGUAUUUGAUAUAUCCUCGGUAUGGAUGAUUGAUUUAUUUGCAGAAUGUCCCAGAAAUUGUGAAUCUCGGUUUACAAGAAUCAACACGAAUGCUGAAACAUUGAUUUUUUUGAAGCAGUUUUUCUAUAGCGAUAGCCAAUAGUGUGACAUCACACUACUCCAUUUUCACAGGCCAUGCCACAUCUUUACAUGAUAAGCUGACACCUAAUAAGGAUCAUGAGAACAACAAAGAUGCUAAGUGGGAACCUUUUGGGGUUAAGGAUAUUAACAACA